AUUCUUUCGCAGAGGCAAUAUCGUAGCCUAUGAGGUUUGCCCGAGGCGUGAUAAUCUCUGGUUGAAAAUUUUACCCAAUAACUAGUGAUGGGCAGAGCGAGGCUUCGUGAAACAUUGAAACAGUUGAAUCAAUU